rnacentral:ncRNA from 1 species
GAACCCCAGACCCACUGGAGAGCAAGACCCGGUCCAACCUACUGUGCCACUGCGCCACCGUGCCCCUGUAUGUAAACUUUUUUCUUCUAAUAACUUUUCUACACUCAGCUCAUCGGUUCAGCAAUCGGCAGGCAACUUCUCAGAGGGACAAGUGGCAUUCAGCCACAUGAGACUGAGGAAUAACAGGUCUGUGAUGCCCUUAGAUGUCCGGGGCUGC